GUACAGCUCCGGGCAAAAAUGAGGGAAUUGUAAAUAUUUUCUGUUAGCUAAGUCUACACACACCCCCGGAAUUUAACCGAGUGUGGCUAAACUCUUUUUAACGAACACGCAGCUUCACGGUGAGACUCAGGGGAGAUGCUUUCCGGUUUUAGAGUCAUUUCGUUCAUUCAUUUAGGGGAGACAGGAAGUGAAGUUGUUGCCGAUCACGUUUUUCGGUGAUACGUGCCUGUGCGGAGAUGCUGCAUGGAUGAACAGAGCCAGCAUCCCACACGCAGCUGAGCCUGAGGCCUUUAAAAUACACGAAUCUGACCCGUUUGUCCAAAAACACUCAACUCACUUCUAUUACGAAGACACUCCACUAGAUAGCAAUAAUAAUUAACCAAUACAUGUGUCCAUAUGUCUGUAAAUGUGCUAAAUGCAGUCAGGGUAUUAUAUAAAAUCAAACUUUAUUUAUAAAGCACUUUGGCAACAAUUCAAACUUUAUUUAUAAAGCACUUUGGCAACAAAAAUAAAGUAACUAAAGUGGUUUACAAAAUAAACAGUCAAAACUGUUAAGGGCUGUUUUUGCUUUGCAGUUUUAAGGUCAUUGCUUAAAUCAAUUACUUAUUUCACUCUUCAAAUUAUAUAUAACUUAAUUACAAACAAACAUUUUAAAGUAAAUUAAAACUUUUUCCUCCAGCUUUUGACAAAAUUUUAAACUUUGCUUUACAUAAAGUUACAAUGUUAAGGGUGUUUAUGUUUGAAAUGUAUACUGUGGUGUUUGUCUGGCAUUUAUUUUAUUGUAUUUAAUUUCUUUUAAUUUUAAAUUGGGUUGUGACUCAUCAAGCUGUGUGGAGAACACUGAAAUUAGCAAACAAUUGUUGAAUUAUAGUUUUCUCUUUAAAAUGUUUGGUUUUGAUGUCAAAAUAAAAGUAUGUAAAGUUGUUAUUCCUGAAGAGCAGCUUUAGAUAUAAACUAUCAAAUGAUUGCAAAUUAGAUUUUUAUUCUGUUAAACCUAAUUUGUGUUUCUUAUUAUUGUUUUGUAAUCGUAUUGUUCAGACAAUUGUUAGUUUUAUUGUCAGCUCAAAUCCUUUCACUCCUAUCUUUACCACUUUCAUCAGAAGUUAUGAUUCAGUGCUUGAUGUUAUUUUCUUUAAGAGAAGAUCUUAAGUCAGGAAGGAAAAAAUCUUCUUCUCUUUAAGCUGGUUUUUAUUUGCUUUAAGUUAAAGGCAGCUCAUGCAGGUUUAUUUCCAAAAUCAACAUUCUGCGUUUGAGUUACAGCAGUUUACUGAUGCUGAAGCUCAGAUUGAGAUUUAUUCUCUGGGUUUCUCAUGAGGUCUUCUGCAGACCAACCUUCACUCCACAGAGUGAAAGAGCUUGAAGGUGUCACCCUGUUUGGAAAUGUCAGGAGGCCAGGAGGUGAUGCAACAGCAGGCAGCACAGAGCAAGGGUCGCCCUCCGCCUGCAACGCUGGUGUUAAAGGUCGAACUUCAGCCGACGUGACGCAGAAAUAAUCUGCACUGAUUCUGGCAUGUUUCACGCAGUGCCUGCCCGAGCCUGCCCGGCGUUUCACGUUCAUGGACCGCGAGUGCGGGACAGCGGGAAGUUACGACAGAAUGAUUUCUACUGCAAGAAGCGAUUUCCUCUUUGCAGUGCUGUUUCCACAUUCAUCAUUCAUUGACACACAUAUCAGGAUUUUCUUUAGGAUUUGUGUUAAUUUGAAGCACAAAAGAAAAAAAAGAUUGAAGUUAUUGUUGUUUUUUUUACUGAUAAGUGUUUGCUUCAUCCACUCAUUUCAGGGCAGCUCCAGAGCUUUUAGCAUCAGCUUAAAGGUGUAAAACUUUUGGUGUGGAAAAUCCACAGCAGCGGCUGAACUGCUGACAUGGAGCUUUCAGGAUAAGACUGUGGAUUGCUGUGAUAAUAGAAGCAGCUGCAGGGUUCAGAUCGAGUGUCUGGUUGGAUCCAUCAAUGGAGGGCGGGGUAGUUAUGUAACCGACUGUUGGAGAAAGGAAGCAGCGUUCUGACAGACAGACACCUUAGAGCUGCUUCAGCCGGGUUUUAUGAUAGUCUUUGGUUCUUAUUUCAAUAAAAAAAGAAAAACUUAGUUUAUUCCUAAAGAGAAAUUAGAAUUCCCUCAGAUCUUUUUUAAAAUGCUGAUUUAUUUCACUAUGUCUGCGUUUUAUUUAUUAUUUAAAUACUUAGAAUAAUAAAUUCAUUAAAUCCAUAAAUUGAUUUUGUUUAAAUCCAUUUAUUCUACCAUUUCAAGCAAUAAUAGUUAUUUCCGUUUGUUUUUUUCUGUAUGAACUCAUUUCUUUUGUCAAUUUAAAUGAAAAAAAAAAACUGAAAUAAUUUGUCAAACGAUGGAAAAACUCAAAAAAGAAAUGGAAUUAUGAACUUGUCUGUUGAUGUGAUGGGGCUGUCCGAGAAACCGAUUUUAGCGAUACAUUUGAAUUUUGUGAUUUAUUUAUUUAUUUUUAAGAGGAUUUAUUUGAGGGAAAAUUGGAUUUUAUUUUCCCAGCAUUCUGCGCUCUUCGGCUUCCGUUGUUCGGAGAGAGAUCAGCCCGUUCCUCGCUCUGCACGGACGAUAAAAUGGAAACUAGCAAAGUGAAGCUUUUUCCCCAGAAGAGCUGCUUUUGCAAACAUUUUUAUAGCUUGUUGCACUUUGUGUUCAGACCAACUUCCAAAGGAGAAGCUAAAAUAAAUCAGUUUUUGUUCAGUAAAUUCUGUAAUUUUUAGUUU